rnacentral:lncRNA from 1 species
UCCCAAAUAACUCACAUAGCUGCAGCUGGAGCGCUUAGGUGUGCUCUGACGCUCACGCUCGGCUCUUUGCAAGCGUCUCUGCUCCUUCUCCUAAUCAAUAAACCCACCCAUCUUGCUUCGUUUUGCCCCGUUCCAAAGUUAUUUUCUGCUUCAGUGUCAACUAAAAAAUCCUGUCUGCAUCUACAUGGAGAUCCCCGAGCUGCUGAUGGAGAAUCCCCAGACCGCACAGCUACACCACGGCACACCGAGCUGAUUUCCACUGCUGAUGACAGUGGACAAUCUGGUGGCUCAGCAGACCCACUCUAGUGCCUAGAAGGUUCCUGGAGAGCUGCUGGGUUCUAGUCUACAAUGAAAGCCUGGACAAGCUGGUUCUGAUAACACUGAAGAAAUCGUCAUUGUCAUCAUCAUGGUCACCGUCACCAGCACCAGCAGCAGCAGCAUAACUGACUCGGCAGCAAGAGAAAAGAGCAAGAGAGCCAAAGGCAAGAAAUCUCUCUGUCACUCCCUUUUAUCUGAGCUGGCACCAGAAAGCACCAUUCAUAGGGUACAUUGAUUAUAACAACUGGGACAGUUCCUCAGGUGAGGCGCGUGUGUGUGUGUGUGUGUGUGUGUGUGUGUGUAUGUGUGUGUGUGUGUGUAUGUGUGUGUGUGUGUGUGUGUGUGUGUGUUGCCAGUUGACAUUAAAACCAACCAUCAUUCUCGUUCAUACGGUAAUUCUGGGGCUAACUUGUUAAAAAUGGUCUGGGUGGCUCUGGUUAUUCUGUAACUUGCCCUGUAGACCAGGCUGGCCUCGAACUCAGAGAUCUGCCUUCAGAGUGCUGGGAUUAAAGGCAUGCACCACCAUGCCUGGCUUCUGGUGCUAACUUUUUGAAGAACUAACAAAUUAAUUUCCAUAGAAGCCGUGCAGUAUUUAUGUUUCCACUAGCAAUGGAAUGUUGGGGUUCUGGUUUCUCUGUAUCUGUAUCAAUACUUGUUACUUUCUGAUAUUUUUUCUUUUUUCUUUUUUUUGAAACAAGGUCUUACGUUGUAGCCCUGGCUAGCCUAGAACUCACAAAGACCUGCCUUCCUCUGCCUACCUAGAGCUGGAAUUAAAGCCAUGUAUCACUGUCCACUGUCCACUGCGGCUGGCUGGUUUUUUUUUUUAAAGGAUGACCAAUGAAGUAAAUAUGACACAUCAUCUCAUUGUGGUUUCAUCUAUACUUCCUCAGCGACUUACAUGAUUGAGUAUCUUUCCAUGCGAGGGUUGGCCAUUUGUAUAUAUUUUCUGGAGAAAUGGCUACUUAAAUUUUUUUUUUGCCCAUUUUAAAUUUGAAGUGUUUGCCUUUUUGUUACUGCAUUGUAGAUUACAGCUUUUAUUCAUAUACGUGUGUGUGUGUGCGCGCACUCUGCACACAAUCUUGUUCAGCAGUGAUUGGCAAGUAUUUUCUUCCAUUCCUUAUGUUUAUUUAUUCUUUUUUUAUUCUCUUCACAUUAUCCUUUGAUGCCCUAAGAUGUUCAGUUUUUACAAAGUCGACCUAAUCUAAUUUUUCUAUAAUUGCCAGUGUUUUGAGUGAUAGGGCUGAGAAAUCAUUUCUUAGUUCAGUGAUGAAUAUUACCCCUGUACUUUAUUCUAAGAGUUUUGUCAUUUGUCUUUGAUUUGGUUUAUCUGUGGUUACUCUUUGCAUAUGGUGGGAAAUAAGGGCCCAUAUCUGGUCUUUGGACUUCAGUUUGCUUCAUAGAUGUGUUGAAAGAAAUAAUCUUUCCAUGUCACAUGGUCU